UGCUUCUCUCUCUCUCUCUCUCUCUCCAAAUAAAUAAUUUUUUUUUUUAAGUAAUCAAAACCCAGCAGAUGCAGGAAAAGCUCUCUGCCUUUCCCACAACUGUCUAGUUUACAUUGGAAGGAGAACCUGUAAUAGGAAGAGAGCUAUUAACAGACACUUCCCUUUGCCUAAGGAAUUUAUCUGCCUCAUAGAGCAAACUUGUGUUUCUAAACGUCUUUCACCUUCUUGCUAAAAGCUUUCUCCUUUUCAUAUCCUCAGACCUCUGCCCCUCUCCUCAGCUCAUGUGAGCUUCAUGUGCCCCAUUGUCUUUGGAAUGUCAUGUCUGUGGAUUCCCUGUAUAUGCACUCAUUAAAUAUUUUCUCCUGUUAAUCUGUCUCAUGUCCAUUUGGUUCUAAGUCCAUUUAGAAGGAUUAAGGAUUGUAGAGCAGAGGAAGGUCUUUCUGCCUGACAGUUUCUAGGAAUGGAACUGCCGAGUGAAGUUCACGUUUAACUCUUUACUGCCAAAUUUUUCCAAAGCGUCUCUACUAUUUUAUAUUCCCACCAGCACUGUAGAACCGUUCCAUUUUCUCCACCUCCCUGCCAAUACUUGGUGUUGCCAUACUAGCGUGAAGUGGUAUCUCAAUGGAUUUUUUUAAAUUGUGGUAAAAUAUACACAAAACAUCUAUUUUUAA